rnacentral:tRNA from 1 species
CGGGGUGGAGCGGCGGUAGCUCGUCGGGCUCAUAACCCGAAGGUCGUCGGUUCAAAUCCGGCCCCCAACCA